UCUCUUCCCAUCUUUCUCUUUCUCCCUGGGUCUUGUCCCACAGGGGGGAGCUCGGAUGGAGGCUCUGCUGUCCCGGUCCCAUCCAGGAUUUGCCCCCUCUGGGAAAGCUAAGCUAAGGGGAAGCAGCAGGCUCUGAACCCCCUCCCGCCCGUCCCGAGAACACCCUCCUGGCUUCACCAGGCCCCCAGGGCUGUGUGCCCCAAACAGCAGCGAGGACGUGCUGGGGUAUGUAACUGGCAGACCCCCGCUGGCCGAGGACCCCCAGUUUAGAGGAGGACAUAGUUACCCAGCAUGUCUUCCAGUGGCCAGUGUCGUGGUGCAGAGAAUAUGAGAAUAAACAGCCUCCCUUGAGAGGGCUGCAGGGAGAUGGUGGCUCAGGACCAGAAGAGGAGGAAACAUUCCAAGAAGAACUUGAAAACAGGGGAGUGUGCUGACUGGCACAAGAGCUCCUGAGUGCAUUGUGCAAGAGAAGAGGGGAGGGGUACAGCAGAGGAAGGCAAAACCUGUCUGCUCAAGAAAUGGUGCCGCCAGCCUCUGAGAGACACAGGGAGGAGAGAAUCACCCAGCAGGGGGAGAGGGCCUCAUUCUAGACCUCCCUGGGGCCUGCUUUUUAUCCUUGCCCUGAUUGAGCCGGCUCCUCAAUACCACCUUUCGCCAAGCUGAUUCAAGUUCAGUUCAGCUCAUUCUUCCUCAGGCCAUCUUGAAAACCCAAAUCAUCCACCCUUGAAUCUGCUUUUUUCAUCUCCUUUCUAACAGCUCUACCCGUUACCUCAGGAGUCCUUUCCCCACCGUUUACUGUCUGCCCAAACAAUCCCGGCUGACUGUCAGGAUGGAGCCAGGCUUGCCCCUGUGUCAAGAAAAAGGCAGACUGCAUGUCAGAAAGAUUAAUUAGAAUGAUGAAGAACAAAGGCUUUCAGCCUCUAAAGCCCCUGAAGAACAGCUCGAAGUUCCCUCAGAACGUCCCACCCUUCUCCUUCUACUCCUGUUAAGAAACCUGCUUUCCCUCAAGCACCAGCUUUCAAGAGAAAAUAAACAGACUUUUCUAGAUCAGCAUUAUUGUUUUUCCAUUUCUACCUACAGGUCUUGC